rnacentral:lncRNA from 1 species
AUCGGAGCCAAUUCCCAGGACGGCAAGAGGGGGAACCGGCAGAGAUGACUGACCCUGGAGGACAAGAGCAUUCUUCUGACAAGUUUUAGCAUGGACUAUCCUCAGGAAAAUGAGAUCCAGGAAGAGUGACGCCCUCCUCGAACUGAAAGAUACUCAGGUUGAUGGAGUCAGGGACGAAGUGGCUUAUCAACAACACAGGAUGUCUGCAGGGAACAGAACUUAUUCAGACAUGGCCCAGAUUGUCUGCCCGUGGGGACUGAGGGACCUCUGAGGGUUACAUCAGGAAGGAAGGAGAGGCUGUUUCUACAGGUGCCACAGAAAAAUCGAUGCUGAGCCUCGGAUUAUUGGAUCCCAUAGAACCGUGGAGACUUGGCAGUGAAAUUCUUCCAAAGCAUUCCAUCUGCGCAGGCAGGCAGAGGUUUUCCUGGUUUGGGAAGUAUAAAUCCCGUGGGAAGUCAACUGGAGGACAUUUUACGCGUCACUCAUCCUAUUAUGAGCCUGCUGCUCCUCCGUCUCUUGACAAGGCCACCAACUAGAAGGGCACAGAAUUGUUCAUAAAACAGCUGAAUGUGAAUGUCUUUGGAUUCCCAUUUAAUGAGACUCCCUGCCUCUUCUGUUUCUCGUCGAUGCUUCCAUUGUAUUCCAGUUGGCAGCUAAAGGACAGGAGCAGCAAUAAGGCUUCCUGGCUACAUUUUCAUGGUGCCACCAACUGCGAGUUAAGCUGACAAACAUUUUGAGAGCUCGGCCCAUUUCAUUCCCAGCAGGAUGGCAGGUACUUGCUGCAGAGGAAUAGGCGAGAUCAAUAUUAAUCAUGAAUGUUCGUUCUAUGUGACAUCCAUCAGUACCACAGUUGAAUAAGAGUCAGGAGUUAACUAAAACAGAAUAAACUAAAAAUUGUGCCUUCAUUGCACAUUUGCACUGAUUAUCAGCACUGAAAAUGGCUAAGUUCUGCUUAUCAAGAGCGGGUGACUGAUUGUCCCUGCCAGCUGGCUAAUAUCAUAAUUAGCAAAGUUGCUACCACAUCUGCAAAGUUUAAUCGAAAAAUUUACCAGUGGUAUGAUGGCAUUGUCACCGCGAUCCUGAGGGAAUCAGAGUCGACUUCUGCUUCAACUGGAAUGGCAAGGCUGUAGAGCUGAGAUGAGAAACUGUAAACUUGCUCAGCCAAAGGUUAUGCUUCACAUCACCCACCAGGGAGGAUCAUCUCUCAUGAAAACUUUCAAAUUUGAUUUUGAAAAUUUAUUCAGAAAAAUUUAAGCCACGCUCUUUCCCAACACAGGAAAUAAUAUGCUCCAGAGAAUCCUCUAAUUCACCGAAAAUGGACUUGGAUAACAUUUGGGUUCUCAUACUACCACAGUCCUCUUGAGAAGGACAGCCAGGCUUGGGUGGCAGUGGUGAGGAAGGUUCCUUUCUGUCAAGGGAGCUGAUGCCUUAAAGAAGCUAUCUCCAGAUAAAGGGAGAUCUAAGGAAGGAAGCCAACGAAAGACACCAUGUACCAGAAAGCCAAGCAGGAUUUUGACAUUUAUAACCAUAAUCUCUAUAAACAAGAUGAAUUAUGGCUGGGGAUUCAGUUAGUAAAUCAACGAAAAUAAAUCCUGGUAAGGAGGCUAAUAAUGAAGGGGCCAGGGAAGGAGGCCAAUGCUACAGGGUUAUCUCCUAACCUCAGAUGUUGGAUAAGUCCAUGGAAACAGCAGCGCUUCUGGAUGGCUUCAGAAAGGCUGGAGUGAUUGUUUGGACGAGAAAAACCCGCCUAUUCAUUCAAAGGUACAUGAAUGUUGUCGACACUGUCCCAUCUAAAGGUUCAUCCUUAGAAUUCUGCCUUAGACAAAGGAAGUGCUUGGAGCCCCACCACACCUAAAACCAUGCUUUGAAGGAUCUGCCAAGCUCACUUUUAAUCAUGAGAAAGAAAUUACCCACAUGGAGACAGCAGAAAAUGAGAAAGUAGAGAUCGUGCUGCGAAUAAUUCCAGCGAGUGCCAAGGGGCUAGUUGAGGAAUGGCUUCAUGAGAUGUUAGUCUAUCUAGAACAACAGAUUUGGAUCUAAGCUGGACCUUUGAGAAAGAAAAGACUUCGAGGAAAAACACCUUUCCAUAUGUUUUAUUACCUUUCACCUGAAUUGUUUAAUGCACACUAUCCAACUAUAUUCAUCUUUCUUGCUUCAUGUGUAUUUCUUCUUUUGCUUGAACUGCUUUAGAAUUGACUUUUGAGCUACACAGUCAUUCUGGAUUUUUAAAAAGAGAAUUCUAAUAAAAACUUAUAUAUGUUGUUAA